rnacentral:rRNA from 1 species
GAUGAACGCUGGCGGCGUGCCUAAUACAUGCAAGUCGAGCGAAGCGGGGACGGGUGAGUAAUACGUGGAUAACCUCCUAUCAGAGUGGGAUAAUUCCGGGAAACCUUAGCUAUACCCGUAACUUCUCGAUGGAUCCGCGCUGCAUUAGCUAGUUGGUAAGGUAACGGCUUACCAAGGCAACGAUGCAUAGCCGGCCUGAGAGGGUGAUCAGCCACACUGGAACUGAGACACGGUCCAGACGCCUACGGGAGGCAGCAGUAGGGAAUCUUCCGCAAUGGGCGAAAGCCUGACGGAGCCACGCCGCGUGAGUGAUGAAGGUCUUCGGAUCGUAAAACUCUGUUAUUAGGGAGGCGGUACCUAAUCAGAAAGCCACGGCUAACUACGUGCCAGCAGCCGCGGUAAUUC